AUAGCCAGACUUUUGUGAGUACAAGUCUAUGUGUGUGCGGGCGUGUGUGUAGGGGGGGAGGAUGUGGAAAUGCAUCCGCUUGUUUAUUUAUGUAGAUGAACAGAAGGAAUGACAAUCAGGGAGGGAGAGGCAGACGGAGAGAGAGAAAGAAAGGUUUGGAAGAGAGUUGUAUUUGCAAACUGCUGGCUGACUUCCCACUGGAGCCGUGAGAGAUCAGAACGAGAGGCUGCGUGUCAGAAGAGAGAGAGAGUGCGUAUGUGUGUGUUCGCACAUCUGAGAGGAGAAACGCAGAGAGACAGACAGAGAGAGGGAGAAAGGGGAGGGAGGAAGGGAGAGGAACCCGUUCAACCCAUUUCAGCGGCAACUUUUCAGCCCGUCUUACAUGAGGUCUCUCCCUGAAUAUGGACACUUUUCGCUCCCGUCUCCUCAGCCAUCCCGUCGCCACGGUUCCCCGAUGCCGAACUUUGGCCACACUUUAGGCUGAAGCAACCUGAGUUUUCUCUGCAGUUUUGCAGGAGAUGAUGAUGGCAUUCACCAUGUAAAGCAACUCAAGCCUUUGCAUCAUCACCUCUCCUUGCGGUGUCAUUUGAGCCUUUGCAGCAACGAGGCUGGCAACACGUCCUGGCAUGGAACCACUCCGCAUAUGCCAAGAGUGCAGUUCAAGAGUGCACAGGCAGACAAAAAGAGUGAUGCAGCUCACCAUCAGUGUGUGAAUGUGUGUAUGAAGCACUCUGGAGUUUUUGGACCUGAUAAAGAGCAAUACCCUGCCGGCCAUUUACAAACAGGCAGGUAAAUCUUGUAGUUUCAAGUACUGAAAAACAAAGCGUCAAUAAAAAGUAAGAUAUGUGAUGCUUCUUUGAAAUCCAAGGGGGGGACAGAUCUACUAUGUGUGACUGGAGACGGCCUCUAGGGCGUCUCAUUUAAAGGAAUAUAACGCAAAGGAUAACAGAAGUCUAGAAUUUAACUGAAAGUGUAAUUUUUUAAAAUCAUGUUCACAACAGAAAGCAGGUCAAGUAUGUUGUGUAGCAUUAUAGGGAGUAAAAAAAAGAAAUCAGUCAUCUUGUAUUAAUGGCCAAAAACCUCCCAGUACGGUUCACUUCAUCUAUUGACAUUAUACAAGUUGAUCAGAUGAGAGAGAGCAACGUGUGUUUUCAGAAUAUGAAGCUGGGAUCAAAAGGGUGUGGCUUCAACUGACAGAUUUCACCUGAGCAAUAUGCAUUAGCCUUGGGAGAAAUAAAUCUAUUUUCCAAUACAUCAGGAUGUAGAUGAGAAUGAUUGUUGAAUCAAUAAAUGUCCAAGCUUAAUUAUUUAUUCAUUAUUGUAGUAAACUGACAUUACAGGAAGCUAAUGAACUCAUCUGAAUGCUGAAAACAGAUGUGUAUUGUCUCAUCACACUUUAAUGUCAAAUUUUAUGACAGAAAUAUUGAGUAUAUAGACCUUGCCAGUGCUGUACUUAUCUCUCCUUACAGAUGAGCAAUGUUAGUUCCCAGGUACAUCUCUUUUCCCAUGCCAAAAUAAAAUAAAAUUCCUUCUCUUUUCUGCAGCUGUUUAACACUUAAACAUGUCAGGAAAAGUAAAAGCUGAAAUCAAUCUAGUACAACAACAUCUGAACAAGAUGGGAAAAUAUUGCUAAAAAAAUCUUUCCAGACAGUAAAAAAAAAAGGCAGAAAAACUCAUUUGAUCAAAUCUUCUAUAACUGAUUUUCAUCAUCACAGUUCUGAUCUAGAAUUUCCCUAGGAACAGAAACUGAAGAUAUUUCCUUUACACAACUGUUGUACCAGUCAGAAUAUUAUAAAGGAACUCCUCCCACUCAGAGUGGUUACAGUAAAGACAAAGUUGCUGAACGAUUCCUCUCACGUGUUUUAUGUUAUGGUCCGGCAAAAGGUUUGAAUUUAAAUAAAAAUAAAAACGUUAUUAAACAAAUUUGUUAUUAUUAAUUACACUAUAUUAUUAAAUAAGCACCUUAUGAAGCAAGUAAACACACCACAUGAAAAGGUCUCUGUCCUCCUGUAUUUUCAUUUUCUAUAGACAGAAGAUCAACACGUUUAGAAUAUAGCAACAUUUAGGUAUGUAAAUUUAUAUGAUGCCUGAAAAUAUUUCCAUAGUUAAUGUGUUAAAAUGAAAAAUAAAUCAGAGUAAAAAACAA